rnacentral:lncRNA from 1 species
UGGAAGGGUGCAAAAUAUGCUACUACGUGCUGAAACACCAAUGAUACCAACAAUUUUACUUCUGCAUGAUUACUCAACAGCUAAUUCAGGGCCUACUGAGGUAAUGGUGUGUUAUAAUGGAAUAGCCAUUGCCACCAGAAUAUUUUCUCACACUAAAUAUGACUCAUAAAAUGGAAGUCAAAAGAAGCAUCACAAACGAACCAAUCCUAGAUGACAAAUAGCAAUUUG